rnacentral:rRNA from 1 species
AUCCUGGCUCAGGAUGAACGCUAGCUACAGGCUUGACACAUGCAAGUCGAGGGGCAGCACUAGGUAGCAAUACUGAGGUGGCGACCGGCGCACGGGUGCGUAACGCGUUAUCCAACCUUCCCGUUACUCUUGGAUAGCCUUCCGAAAGGGAGAUUAAUACCCCAUGGUGUUGUCUGGAGGCAUCUCCAUACAACUAAAGAACUUCGGAAACGGAUAGGCUCGCGUGACAUUAGCUAGAUGGCGGGGUAACGGCCCACCAUGGCGACGAUGUCUAGGGGUUCUGAGAGGAAGGUCCCCCACACUGGAACUGAGACACGGUCCAGACUCCUACGGGAGGCAGCAGUGAGGAAUAUUGGUCAAUGGUCUGACGACUGAACCAGCCAUGCCGCGUGAAGGUCACGGCCCUAUGGGUCUUAAACUUCUUUUGCGAGGGAGCAAUAAGGCGUACGUGUACGUCGAUGAGAGUACCUCGCGAAUAAGCAUCGGCUAACUCCGUG